CCUACGGGAGGCAGCAGUGGGGAAUUUUGCGCAAUGGGGGCAACCCUGACGCAGCAACGCCGCGUGAGUGAUGAAGGCCUUCGGGUCGUAAAGCUCUGUCAGAGGGGAAGAAAUGCAGGUGGUGAACAACCAUUCUGUUUGACGGUACCCUCAAAGGAAGCACCGGCUAACUCCGUGCCAGCAGCCGCGGUAAUACGGAGGGUGCGAGCGUUGUUCGGAAUUAUUGGGCGUAAAGCGCGUGUAGGCGGUUUGUUAAGUCUGAGGUAAAAGCCCCGGGCUCAACCGGGAAAGGGCAUUGGAUACUGGCAGACUUGAGUACGGGAGAGGAGAGUGGAAUUCCCAGUGUAGGAGUGAAAUCCGUAGAUAUUGGGAAGAACACCGGCGGCGAAGGCGACCUACAAAACUGAUACUGACACUGAGGUGCGAAAGCUAGGGGAGCAAACAGGAUUAGAUACCCUGGUAGU
rnacentral:rRNA from 1 species